CGGUAACCUACCCUCGGGAGGGGGAUAACCCCGGGAAACUGGGGCUAAUUCCCCAUAGGCCUGAGGUACUGGAAGGUCCUCAGGCCGAAAGGGACUUAUGUCCGCCCGAGGAUGGGCCGGCGGCCGAUUAGGUAGUUGGUGGGGUAAUGGCCCACCAAGCCGAAGAUCGGUACGGGCUGUGAGAGCAGGAGCCCGGAGAUGGACACUGAGACACGGGUCCAGGCCCUACGGGGCGCAGCAGGCGCGAAACCUCCGCAAUGCGGGAAACCGCGACGGGGGGACCCCGAGUGCCGUGGCAACGCCACGGCUUUUCCGGAGUGUAAAAAGCUCCGGGAAUAAGGGCUGGGCAAGGCCGGUGGCAGCCGCCGCGGUAAUACCGGCGGCCCGAGUGGUGGCCGCUAUUAUUGGGCCUAAAGCGUCCGUAGCCGGGCCCGUAAGUCCCUGGCGAAAUCCCACGGCUCAACCGUGGGGCUUGCUGGGGAUACUGCGGGUCUUGGGACCGGGAGAGGCGGGGGGUACCCCUGGGGUAGGGGUGAAAUCCUAUAAUCCCAGGGGGACCGCCAGUGGCGAAGGCGCCCCGCUGGAGCGGGUCCGACGGUGAGGGACGAAGGCCAGGGGAGCAAACCGGAUUAGAUACCCGGGUAGUCCUGGCUGUAAAGGAUGCGGGCUAGGUGUCGGGUGAGCCUCGAGCUCGCCCGGUGCCGUAGGGAAGCCGUU
rnacentral:rRNA from 1 species